CUGUUCUGCAGGUCUCACCGCAGAGGGGCACGCCAGCCAUGAGGACAGAUGAGGGAACACGUGAUGCCACGAUGGGGGUGCCAGGAUGAGGUGGGUGCGGUCGCGGACAGGCGCACGAGGAGCCCAGCGGAGCGCCACCCGGAGCAGGCGCGGAGGAGGGCUGGGGAGGGCCACCAAGGCGACGAGAGCCGGUGUGCCUGAAUCAGCCUAAAGGAGACGGAGGAGGAGUGUGGUGGGCGCAGGGGCAGGGAGCUGGGGGAAGGGCGGGGGGCUAGCCCAGGCUGAAGGCAGGCAGGAGCAGGGCCGCGAUGUCAGACAAGAAACGGCAGCAGUGUGUUUGGGAACCUAGCACCAACCGCACCGGUGGAGACAGGGUCUGCUGUAGAGGAGGUGGGGCCGGGUCCCAGCUAAGUAAGGCGGUGGAUCUUGCAGCCCUUCCAUCCUCAGCCGCUCAUUCUGCGCAAAUCUCGGGGCCAGCCUUGGUGGAGCCGUAAAGCGUCCACCAGAACCUGGAUCCCUCCGCCACCUUUCCCAUGAAUUCACCUUUCUGUACACAGCAAGCGCCUGAGCGGAGACGGCCGACACGUUUCCCACUGUUACCCCAGGAAACCGCGGCUCCUGAGGGGGUCAGGGCCUGGGCAGGGGGCAGAGCUCAGCGCGCCGUACUGAGGCAGAAACGGGGUCCAGAGAGGGUGGGGUGGGGGUACAGGGAAGGGUCGCCCGAAGGUCCCUGGCGCAGGGAGGACAGAGGAGGGAUCUAGAAUUCGUAGGGGAGAAGAGAACUCAGAAAAGAUCCGGCCCAGCGCAUUUAUUUUACAGAGGAAGAAAAACUGAGGCCCAGGGAGGGUAAGUACUGCAGGUAACUAGGCACUAGCAGCAGGGGCACUAGCAGCAGGGACACUCCCUAUCUCGCCUGUCACCCGCGUCCAGCAAAAUCUGAUGCCCUGUCGGCCCAGCAGGGGGCGGUGCUGCUUUAGUUUUGGCCUGGUCGGGGUUGAGCGGAGGAGGGAGCGACUUCGAAUUCAGUCUGCACCUGACUGACCUCGAGCAAAAACGAAGCGGGCGCACGUUACCGUCUUCCAUCUGGGGGCCCAGCAGCCUCCAUCUUCGCCCUAGCCCCUACAGCCUCGUCCCUGGCUGGGGCUCCAGCUCCCCAAUUUCUCACCCUCACCACCAGGAGCUACUUAUCUUAUCACAGGCUCACUUAGAUUACCACUAGGAGAUUACCACUCGGGUGGGGUGGAGGUGCGGUGGGAUUCGCAUUUUGCAAGGGAUCAAAAGAGCGGCUAAUUAUGGCAUUUCUAGCCCAAGGCAUUGGCCAGAGAUAUUGCGGGUAGGCCCCUUAACCUCCCAGCAUCUCGCAGUAUCUACCGAUUAGUGCUGAGCCUCCUGUGCAAUGCAUCCGUCUAUAGAUAUGGCCAGAAUGGGCCGGGCUUGGUGCGCGGUGGCUCACUGCUGUAAUUCCAACACUUUGGGAGGCCGAGGCGGUCGGAUCAACUGAGGUCAGGAGUUCGAGACCAGCCUGGCCAAUAUGGCGAAAUCCUGUUUCUACUUUAAAAACAAACAAACAAACAAACAAAAAACAAAAAAAAAACUAGCCGGGCGUGAUGGCGCAAGCCUGUAGUCCUAGCUACUGGGGAGGCUGAGGCAGAAGAAUCGUUUGAACCCUGGAGGCGGAAGUUGCAGCGAGCGGAGAUCGAGUCACUGCACUCCAGGCUGGGGGAUAGAGCGAGACUCCCAUCUCAAAAUAAAAAAUAAUAAUAAUAAUUUUUUAAAAAGAAAGAAAUGGCCAGAAUGCCAAAGCUUUAAUGGUGGGUAGAAGUCCCCAGACUUGAGAGUCUCGUUCUCCCAACUCUCCUUCCCCGUCAGAAAGUGCGAAGGGACUGGAAUGGAGAUCCUGAGCGGUCCUGGGUGCCGGGGCCCCGACCGGGGCUGAGCUGGUCCCCUGGUCGGGACGGCUGGGCAGAGGUGCCGAGGGGCCGCGGGCGGCCCUUCGCUGGCUCAUUCGCAUCCGCAGCCCCUCAAGAAGGCCCUGGGCCCGCAGGGAGGAAGAGGUGAGCACCCGACAGGAAGGAGAUGGGCUUGGGGGCUCGGGGCGUGCCCUGGGGCAGGUGGAGCGUCCGGCCUCUGAUGUCCCGCGCAGGACACUGAGGUCGCGGUGCAGAGAAGGGUCGGCUUGAGGAUCUGACAGCCUUGCCCGCGUUGGAGACGGGGAAAGGCUCGCAGAACUAAGGUGCGGGGCGGGGGUGCGGGUGCCAAGGUCCCUCUGAGGUUCGUUUGGCUUAUUCACCGAUUUCAUUCCGCUCUUGGUUUUAGUUUACCUGGAAGGUCCUCUCCUGCGCUGGCUCUGGGGGUGCUUGGAACCAGAGCCCCUUAGUCGAAGCGCGUCCUGCUGCCAGCUACUACCAAGUCCUUAGGCCGAGCCCGUUUCUCUCCUGGUGAUGUGAAUCCUCGUUUUUUGUUGUUGUUGUUGUCGUUUACUGAAGUCCCGGGCUGAUUAGACACAGCAAUGGAAGCUGGGGGUGGCCUGGGCCGUGCAUUGAAUUUGUGACUUUAGCAAGUCCCUAAAUUCCUCUCUGCCUCACUUUUGCUGUCUUUUUUAGGUUAAAAAUAUUUUGGAGAAUAGAAAACAGAACAAAACAAAAAUAAUGGCUUAUAGUGCCAAUAUGGAAUUAUAGUCACUCCUAACAUUUUGGUAUAUUGUUUUGCAUUUGCUUUGUUUCUAUUCUAUGCUUAUAUAUUUUUAAUUUUUUUCCAUCACUGUCAUCAUAUUUCCUAUUCAGGUCUCCAGCCUGCUUUAAAAAUUUUUUAAUCAUAAAGUUCCAUAAAAAUUUUAUUUCAGCCAAUUUCUUUUAUAACACGUUCUUCAUGAAUCUUAUCUGAUAUCUGCAUAAUAUUCCACUCAUACUUUGCACAAUUAGACAUUAAGGUCGUGUGUACUUUUUAAAUUAUGAUACAGCAAUUUCUAAAUAGUGUAUAAUUUCAAUUUUUGUUUCUUAGUUAUCAUAACAGUUCUUAAAAGGUGAUAACAAAUUUUUAAGUGGAUACAUUUUUUCCCCCUUCUUUGGUUUAUAAUUUUAUUGCUCUGUGGUCUGAGAAUGUGGCUGUAUUUACGCUUUUUGAAAUUGAAGUUUUUGAUUGAUGGUUGAUUUCGUAAAUAAGUUUAGGCACAGUUUUGUAUAAAUGAUUGGGCACAAAAUUCUUUAUAUUAGAUCAAGCUUUGUAAAAUGUAUUAUCCAUAUCUGCU
rnacentral:lncRNA from 1 species